rnacentral:lncRNA from 1 species
CACCGAGACAAAUGUGCACACUAUUGACCAACAGUUCGCCAGUCAUGAUAACACACUCCAAAACAUGUUAAUGACUAUAUUGCUCAUUAUACAAAAUCUGUCUUAAAUAUAAUAUGAUUUACAUUUUUUCACAUGAACAUUAAUGAUCUACAUUCAACAUUACACAAAUACUUGUUGUCACUAAUUUUUUUUUAAUAUUGUUACCUAAAAUCCACUGUUACUUCCAUAUAAUAUAUACAUUUGUCUUUGAAAUUGUUUGUAUUUGAUCCUAACCUUCACAUGUUUCGGUUCUUAGAUGUCCGUGCCUUUCAAACAUUUGGUUUUGGUUCGGUCCAAAUGAAAGUCAAUCCAAAAAAGCACUUCGGACGCAUAAGCUUAUCAAAUGUUAUUUUCAGUUUUAAAAGUGUUUCUUAUUCCUGCAUAGUGUGGAGGAUAGAUAAUAUGUACAUGUAGGAACGUAUUGAAUUAUAUAUAUGUAUAGGCUUAGCUUUUUAUUCACUAAAUAAGCAAUAUAAAGUUCGACUGUGUUUUUAUCAAGUGAAGCCGACUUCAACCAUUCAGCCAUAUUUCUUGAGUGUCAGAGAUAGUUGCACAUCGCGGGUAACCAAAAUAAGUCCAUUAGUUAACUCAUUAACGACUUGUUUUUGGAAGAGCAUUUCUUCAAAAUACAUUUUUCGUCAUAUUGUCGGUUAGUACAAUAACAGUUUUGUUU